rnacentral:rRNA from 1 species
AUUGAACGCUGGCGGCAUGCUUUACACAUGCAAGUCGAACGGUAACAGGCCGCAAGGUUCUGACGAGUGGCGAACGGGUGAGUAAUGCAUCGGAACGUGCCCAGUCGUGGGGGAUAACUACUCGAAAGGGUAGCUAAUACCGCCUACGAUCUAUGGAUGAAAGCGGGGGACCGUAAGGCCUCGCGCGAUUGGACCGGCCGAUGUCAGAUUAGGUAGUUGGUGGGGUAAAGGCUCACCAAGCCAACGAUCUGUAGCUGGUCUGAGAGGACGACCAGCCACACUGGGACUGAGACACGGCCCAGACUCCUACGGGAGGCAGCAGUGGGGAAUUUUGGACAAUGGGCGCAAGCCUGAUCCAGCAAUGCCGCGUGCAGGAAGAAGGCCUUCGGGUUGUAAACUGCUUUUGUAGGGAAAGAAACGGCUCUGGUUAAUACCCGGCGGUAAUGACGGUACCGAAAGAAUAAGCACCGGCUAACUACGUG